UGAGGAAUAUUGGUCAAUGGGCGAGAGCCUGAACCAGCCAAGUCGCGUGAAGGACGACGGUUCUAUGGAUUGUAAACUUCUUUUGUAGAGGAAUAAUGGCAGCUACGUGUAGCUGAGAUGCAUGUACUCUACGAAUAAGUAUCGGCUAACUCCGUGCCAGCAGCCGCGGUAAUACGGAGGAUACGAGCGUUAUCCGGAAUUAUUGGGUUUAAAGGGUGCGUAGGUGGCGUAUUAAGUCAGUGGUGAAAAGCUGCAGCUCAACUGUAGUCUUGCCGUUGAAACUGAUAUGCUAGAGAGGAGACGAAGUAUGCGGAAUGUGUGGUGUAGCGGUGAAAUGCAUAGAUAUCACACAGAACGCCGAUUGCGAAGGCAGCGUACCAGGCUCCGUCUGACACUGAAGCACGAAAGCGUGGGGAUCAAACAGGAUUAGAUACCCUGGUAGUCCACGCAGUAAACGAUGAAUACUAGAUUUUUGCGAUAUAGUGUAAGAGUCUAAGCGAAAGCGAUAAGUAUUCCACCUGGGGAGUACGCCGGCAACGGUG
rnacentral:rRNA from 1 species